UACGUAGGUGGCAAGCGUUGUCCGGAAUUAUCGGGCGUAAAGCGCGCGCAGGCGGUCCUUUAAGUCUGAUGUGAAAGCCCACGGCUCAACCGUGGAGGGUCAUUGGAAACUGGGGGACUUGAGUGCAGGAGAGAAGAGUGGAAUUCCACGUGUAGCGGUGAAAUGCGUAGAGAUGUGGAGGAACACCAGUGGCGAAGGCGACUCUUUGGCCUGUAACUGACGCUGAGGCGCGAAAGCGUGGGGAGCAAACAGG
rnacentral:rRNA from 1 species